UCUGCUGCAGGAAUUGCAAAGCAGAUGUUUUGGUUUCCUUGAUUUGCAACUGAAAUGAGUUUCUGUCCAGAGCCAUGACUGUCCACCCAUGUUACUAAACUGAAUGUUUUCAGGAAGAGGAAUGCUUCUUCAGAGGAAAGUAUAGACCUUUCACGUGCCUAUAUGUUGGAGAUGCUGUUGGAGCACAGGAUCCUGAAGAGAAGGGGAACAUCUGGAUGUGGAUGACCAGAGCACCUUAAGGAUCAGAGGACGGCUAAGAUGUAAGGAAGAGCCAUGAAAGGAGUCACUUGUGCUGUUACCUACCUCCAAAUCCCAAACAGAAAUUCAACAGCCCCCAG